rnacentral:pre_miRNA from 1 species
UGAAAACUGAAACUACCGUUGGAUCGAAAAAUAGACGUUUCGUUCACGUCAUCACGAGUAAAUUUUUUACUCGCAGAUUUACUCAUGAGUAAAAGUUUUACUGGAAGUAAAAUUUUUACUUAUAGUGACGUGGAUGGAUCUCAGACAUCCAUUUUUCAAUCCAAGUUUCCAAGUUUCU